rnacentral:rRNA from 1 species
AUCCCUAUGGGGGGCAGCAGUGGGGAAUAUUGCACAAUGGGGGAAACCCUGAUGCAGCGACGCCGCGUGAGUGAAGAAGUAUUUCGGUAUGUAAAGCUCUAUCAGCAGGGAAGAAAUAAAGUCCUUUGGACUUUGGACGGUACCUGACUAAGAAGCCCCGGCUAACUACGUGCCAGCAGCCGCGGUAAUACGUAGGGGGCAAGCGUUAUCCGGAUUUACCGGGUGUAAAGGGAGCGUAGACGGCACAGCAAGUCUGGAGCGAAAUGCCGGGGCCCAACCCCGGAACUGCUUUGGAAACUGUGCAG